rnacentral:rRNA from 1 species
UGGGGAAUAUUGCACAAUGGGCGCAAGCCUGAUGCAGCGACGCCGCGUGCGGGAUGGAGGCCUUCGGGUUGUAAACCGCUUUUGUUCAUGGGCAAGGCAGGCUUUCGGGCCUGUUGAGUGGAUUGUUCGAAUAAGCACCGGCUAACUACGUGCC